GUCCGGAUUGGAGUCUGCAACUCGACUCCAUGAAGUCGGAAUCGCUAGUAAUCGUGGAUCAGAAUGCCACGGUGAAUACGUUCCCGGGCCUUGUACACACCGCCCGUCACACCAUGGGAGUGGGUUGCAAAAGAAGUAGGUAGCUUAACCUUCGGGAGGGCGCUUACCACUUUGUGAUUCAUGACUGGGGUGAAGUCGUAACAAGGUAACCGUAGGGGAACCUGCGGUUGGAUCACCUCCUUACCUGAAAGAAGC
rnacentral:rRNA from 1 species